UUCCGGUUGAUCCUGCCGGACCUGACUGCUAUCGGAUUGAUACUAAGCCAUGCGAGUCUUUGCAGUAAUGCAAGGCAUACGGCUCAGUAACACGUAGUCAACUUACCCUAUGGACGAGGAUAAUCUCGGGAAACUGAGCAUAAUUCUCGAUAGAUCAUAAUGCCUGGAAUGGUUUAUGGUUAAAAUGAUUCGUCGCCAUAGGAUGGGACUGCGGCCUAUCAGCUUGUUGGUGAGGUAAUGGCCCACCAAGGCGAUUACAGGUACGGGCUCUGAGAGGAGAAGCCCGGAGAUGGGUACUGAGACACGGACCCAGGCCCUAUGGGGCGCAGCAGGCGAGAAAACUUUGCAAUGUGCGAAAGCACGACAAGGUUAAUCCGAGUGAUUUCUGCUAAAGAAAUCUUUUGCCAGUCAUAAAACCACUGGUGAAUAAGGGGUGGGCAAGUUCUGGUGUCAGCCGCCGCGGUAAAACCAGCACCUCAAGUGGUCAGGAUGAUUAUUGGGCCUAAAGCAUCCGUAGCCUGCUUUGUAAGUUUUCGGUUAAAUCCAUGUGCUCAACGCAUGGGCUGCCGAAAAUACUGCAUAGCUAGGGAGUGGGAGAGGUAGACGGUACUCAGUAGGUAGGGGUAAAAUCCUUUGAUCUAUUGAUGACCACCUGUGGCGAAGGCGGUCUACCAGAACACGUUCGACGGUGAGGGAUGAAAGCUGGGGGAGCAAACCGGAUUAGAUACCCGGGUAGUCCCAGCUGUAAACGAUGCAGACUCGAUGAUGCAUUGGCAUAAUAGCCAUUGCAGUGUCGCAGGGAAGCCGUUAAGUCUGCCGCCUGGGAAGUACGUACGCAAGUAUGAAACUUAAAGGAAUUGGCGGGGGAGCACCACAAGGGGUGAAGCCUGCGGUUCAAUUGGAGUCAACGCCGG
rnacentral:rRNA from 1 species